UACGUAGGGGGGCAAGCGUUGUCCGGAAUCAUUGGGCGUAAAGCGCGUGUAGGCGGCUCGGUAAGUCUGCUGUGAAAGUCCAGGGCUCAACCCUGGGAUGCCGGUGGAUACUGUCGAGCUCGAGUCCGGAAGAGGCGAGUGGAAUUCCUGGUGUAGCGGUGAAAUGCGCAGAUAUCAGGAGGAACACCAAUGGCGAAGGCAGCUCGCUGGGA
rnacentral:rRNA from 1 species